CUUCUCACGUUUGCAGACGACACCACCUUGCUCGGACUCACUGCAGAUGAGUCCACCCUGGAGUUCCUCCUCUUACCAGGAGUCCAACCUGGAGAUGACCUGGAUCAUCAUCCCAAACCCCGGUUUUGAUGUCACAUGGGUGUUUUGGUUAAAGUCCCGGGGGCAGCACUCAGAGCAAAGAAGUCCUCACUUUCCCAGAAAUCUACGUCUGGAGAAAUAGCGAGGACUGCUGAAACCACCGACAGUUGGAGUUGAACCUUGGCAGCUGCAAGAGAUGUCCCUGCUCUAUUGACCAGUCAGCUUACAGCGACGUCCCAGACCCCUUCAGCCUGGAGGAGUUCCUGAGCUUCAGGGCUCUGAAGAACUGAGCUAUCCACCCGGCUGGGAUGUGCAAAAGCUCCUGGCUCAGCUCUUUCUUCUCCAUGCUUCAUUUGUACACGUGUAUUGAGUCGAGGACCGCGGCUCUUUCAGGCUAACUGAAGCACUUUCCAUGAAAAAAUCUUUCUUUAAUUUCUUCCAUCUCUAAUUUAGUCAUCUUUAAUCUGCAGAACAGUUUUGCUGCCCGACUCACUUCCUGUUUUAUCUAAACUUCUGCAGCCAGAUGAUGGUGAUUCCGACAGGCCUGAGGGCUCAGAUCAGACGCUGAUGAUCAGAUAGUGGGAGAUGAAUUUGACUUGUUGAGUUGCAACGGAAGAUUCAAAGUUUCACAGCGGCGCCUGAGGUCACGACCCCUGACCAACACCGAGACUGAUUCCUGUUCAUCCAAACUCUGGAGGGAGAAAACAGCGACUCAAAAAGCUCAUUAAUGCUUUCCUCUCGCGCCGUUUCUUCUGCUGU